rfam:Cricetulus griseus cell line CHO-K1, whole genome shotgun sequence.
GAUGGCUCAGUGGUUAGAGCACUGGUUGUUCUUCCCGAGGACCUGGGUUCGAUUCCCAGCAUCC